GUCCAUUCUUCCAGCCUGUCUAAGCUUCUCAGGAAUGGCAGCCUCUUAAGGUUUUUCCAACCUUAAUGAGUCUAUGGUAAUUAGGUUUUUCUCAUUUGUGUCCAGAAAUGUGUUGCAAGAGGACCUGCUCUGUGAUUUCAGUCGUGUUAGUGCAUAACCUAAAAGCAUCAGACUUCAUGUGGCAACAACAGCACGGCCUUGUGGAGAACUUCAUGGCUUCAUGUGGAACUUCAGAACUUCAUGUGGAGAACUUCACAGCCAAAACUUCGGUAGUGGGAACACACUGAAAAGACCAGAAAUCCUUCCCAAGUCCUUGAGGUAAAUAGACAUAAAGUGUAGGAGUAUAAAUGUAGAAAAGAAAUGCUUUCCCCCCAGCCAAAAACAAACAAACAAAAAAAACCUGCUCCUUUCCACUCAGAAAAAGGUAAAAGGAUGUUUGUGAUGCCUGCUUUUCCAGUAAAACCCAAGCUUGACUGAGGUGGUCUGAAAAAAGACUAGGUCUAGACUUGAAUUUGAUACUUGUAGGUUAGACCUAAUUAAGCAAACUGGUCUUUAUGAGGUGUUAAGAAAUGGAAGUUUUUGAAAUUGAAUGAUUUACGUCCUAUGAAGUGAAGGACAGAACUCUGUUCAGAGUUAGAGCUCUAGAGCUGUGCUGUCAGUUCCACUGUAGUGUUCUAAAAUAGCCUAGAACCUGCUGGCUGGUGGUCAUUAGUGACCAAGAAUAAAAUGUUUCCCUCUGAUUAAUUAAAGACCA
rnacentral:lncRNA from 1 species